CUACGGUGCUGAAGCAACAAAUGCCCUGCUUCCAGGAAAAGCCUCUAAGCAUCAGGUAACAUCAAAUCGUACCCCAAACCGACACAGGUGGUCAGGUAGAGAAUACCAAGGCGCUUGAGAGAACUCGGGUGAAGGAACUAGGCAAAAUGGUGCCGUAACUUCGGGAGAAGGCACGCUGACACGUAGGUGAAGUGAUUUACUCAUGGAGCUGAAGUCAGUCGAAGAUACCAGCUGGCUGCAACUGUUUAUUAAAAACACAGCACUGUGCAAACACGAAAGUGGACGUAUACGGUGUGACGCCUGCCCGGUGCCGGAAGGUUAAUUGAUGGGGUCAGCGCAAGCGAAGCUCCUGAUCGAAGCCCCGGUAAACGGCGGCCGUAACUAUAACGGUCCUAAGGUAGCGAAAUUCCUUGUCGGGUAAGUUCCGACCUGCACGAAUGGCGUAAUGAUGGCCAGGCUGUCUCCACCCGAGACUCAGUGAAAUUGAACUCGCUGUGAAGAUGCAGUGUACCCGCGGCAAGACGGAAAGACCCCGUGAACCUUUACUAUAGCUUGACACUGAACAUUGAGCCUUGAUGUGUAGGAUAGGUGGGAGGCUUUGAAGUGUGGACGCCAGUCUGCAUGGAGCCGGCCUUGAAAUACCACCCUUUAAUGUUUGAUGUUCUAACGUGGACCCGUGAUCCGGGUUGCGGACAGUGUCUGGUGGGUAGUUUGACUGGGGCGGUCUCCUCCUAAAGAGUAACGGAGGAGCACGAAGGUUGGCUAAUCCUGGUCGGACAUCAGGAGGUUAGUGCAAUGGCAUAAGCCAGCUUGACUGCGAGCGUGACGGCGCGAGCAGGUGCGAAAGCAGGUCAUAGUGAUCCGGUGGUUCUGAAUGGAAGGGCCAUCGCUCAACGGAUAAAAGGUACUCCGGGGAUAACAGGCUGAUACCGCCCAAGAGUUCAUAUCGACGGCGGUGUUUGGCACCUCGAUGUCGGCUCAUCACAUCCUGGGGCUGAAGUAGGUCCCAAGGGUAUGGCUGUUCGCCAUUUAAAGUGGUACGCGAGCUGGGUUUAGAACGUCGUGAGACAGUUCGGUCCCUAUCUGCCGUGGGCGCUGGAGAACUGAGGGGGGCUGCUCCUAGUACGAGAGGACCGGAGUGGACGCAUCACUGGUGUUCGGGUUGUCAUGCCAAUGGCACUGCCCGGUAGCUAAAUGCGGAAGAGAUAAGUGCUGAAAGCAUCUAAGCACGAAACUUGCCCCGAGAUGAGUUCUCCCUGAGACUUUAGGUCUCCUGAAGGAACGUUGAAGACGACGACGUUGAUAGGCCGGGUGUGUAAGCGCAGCGAUGCGUUGAGCUAACCGGUACUAAUGAACCGUGAGGCUUAACCUU
rnacentral:rRNA from 1 species